rnacentral:rRNA from 1 species
UACAGAGGUCCCAAGCGUUGUUCGGAUUCACUGGGCGUAAAGGGUGCGUAGGUGGCGCCGUAAGUCGGGUGUGAAAUUUCGGAGCUUAACUCCGAAACUGCAUUCGAUACUGCGGUGCUUGAGGACUGGGGAGGAGACUGGAAUUCAUGGUGUAGCAGUGAAAUGCGUAGAGAUCAUGAGGAAGACCAGUGGCGAAGGCGGGUCUCUGGACAGUUCCUGACACUGAGGCACGAAGGCCAGGGGAGCAAACGGG